rnacentral:rRNA from 1 species
UACGAAGGGGGCUAGCGUUGCGCGGAAUCACUGGGCGUAAAGAGCACGUAGGCGGACUCUUAAGUCGGGGGUGAAAUCCUGGAGCUCAACUCCAGAACUGCCAUCGAUACUGAGAGUCUUCGAGUUCGGGAGAGGUGAGUGGAACUGCGAGUGUAGAGGUGAACUUCGUAGAUAUUCGCAAGAACACCAGUGGCGAAGGCGGCUCACUGGCCCGAUACUGACGCUGAGGUGCGAAAGCGUGGGGAGCAAACAGG